rnacentral:rRNA from 1 species
CCUACGGGUGGCUGCAGUGGGGAAUAUUGCACAAUGGGCGCAAGCCUGAUGCAGCCAUGCCGCGUGUGUGAAGAAGGCCUUCGGGUUGUAAAGCACUUUCAGCGGGGAGGAAGGCGUUAAGGUUAAUAACCUUGGCGAUUGACGUUACCCGCAGAAGAAGCACCGGCUAACUCCGUGCCAGCAGCCGCGGUAAUACGGAGGGUGCAAGCGUUAAUCGGAAUUACUGGGCGUAAAGCGCACGCAGGCGGUCUGUCAAGUCGGAUGUGAAAUCCCCGGGCUCAACCUGGGAACUGCAUUCGAAACUGGCAGGCUAGAGUCUUGUAGAGGGGGGUAGAAUUCCGGGUGUAGCGGUGAAAUGCGUAGAGAUCUGGAGGAAUACCGGUGGCGAAGGCGGCCCCCUGGACAAAGACUGACGCUCAGGUGCGAAAGCGUGGGGAGCAAACAGGAUUAGAUACCCGGUAGUC